GACGAACGCUGGCGGCGUGCUUAACACAUGCAAGUCGAACGGAAAGGCCCUGCUUUUGUGGGGUGCUCGAGUGGCGAACGGGUGAGUAACACGUGAGUAACCUGCCCUUGACUUUGGGAUAACUUCAGGAAACUGGGGCUACUACCGGAUAGGAGCUCCUGCUGCAUGGUGGGGGUUGGAAAGUUUCGGCGGUUGGGGAUGGACUCGCGGCUUAUCAGCUUGUUGGUGGGGUAGUGGAUUACCAAGGCUUUGACGGGUAGCCGGCCUGAGAGGGUGACCGGCCACAUUGGGACUGAGAGACGGCCCAGACUCCUACGGGAGGCAGCAGUGGGGAAUAUUGCACAAUGGGCGGAAGCCUGAUGCAGCAACGCCGCGUGCGGGAUGACGGCCUUCGGGUUGUAAACCGCUUUCGCCUGUGACGAAGCGUUAGUGACGGUAAUGGGUAAAGAAGCACCGGCUAACUACGUG
rnacentral:rRNA from 1 species